rnacentral:rRNA from 1 species
AACGAACGCUGGCGGCAGGCCUAACACAUGCAAGUCGAGCGAGACCUUCGGGUCUAGCGGCGGACGGGUGAGUAACGCGUGGGAACGUGCCCUUUGGUUCGGAAUAGCCCCGGGAAACUGGGAGUAAUACCGGAUAAGCCCUACGGGGGAAAGAUUGAUCGCCAAAGGAUCGGCCCGGGUUGGAUUAGGUAGUUGGUGGGGUAAUGGCCUACCAAGCCGACGAUCCAUAGCUGGUUUGAGAGGAUGAUCAGCCACACUGGGACUGAGACACGGCCCAGACUCCUACGGGAGGCAGCAGUGGGGAAUCUUAGACAAUGGGGGAAACCCUGAUCUAGCCAUGCCGCGUGAGCGAUGAAGGCCUUAGGGUUGUAAAGCUCUUUCACCGGGGACGAUAAUGACGGUACCCGGAGAAGAAGCCCCGGCUAACUUCGUGCCAGCAGCCGCAGUAACAC